rnacentral:rRNA from 1 species
AGAGUUUGAUCCUGGCUCAGGAUGAACGCUAGCGGCAGGCCUAACACAUGCAAGUCGAGGGGUAACGAUGUCUUCGGACAGUCGACGACCGGCGCACGGGUGAGUAUUGUGUUUGUAAUUUAUUUUUAACUGGAGAAUAGCCCGAAGAAAUUCGGAUUAAUACUCCAUAACACUAUGAAUUGGUAUUUUUUUAUAGUUAAAGCUCCGGCGGUUAAAGAUGGGCAUGCGUAACAUUAGUUUGUUGGUGAGGUAACGGCUCACCAAGACUAUGAUGUUUAGGGGGUCUGAGAGGAUGGUUUUCCACACUGGUACUGAGAUAUGGAUUAGAUUUUUAUGGGAGGUAGCAGUGAGGAAUAUUGGUCAAUGGGCGCAAGCCUGAACCAGCCAUGCCGCGUGAAGGAUGACAGCGCUAUGCGUUGUAAACUUCUUUUGUACAGGAAGAAAUGUUUUUAUGUGUAGAAGUUUGAUGGUAUUGUACGAAUAAGCACCGGCUAACUCCGUGCCAGUAGUUGUGGUAAUACGGAGGGUGCAAGCGUUAUCCGGAUUUAUUGGGUUUAAAGGGUACGUAGGCGGAAAAUUAAGUCAGUAGUGAAAUUUUGUAGUUUAAUUGUAGAAUUGUUAUUGAUAUUGGUUUUCUUGAAUAUAGUUGAGGUAGGUGGAAUGUGUAAUGUAGUGGUGAAAUGUUUAGAUAUCACACAGAAUAUUGAUUGUGAAGGUAGCUUAUUAAGCUAUGAUUGACGCUGAGGUAUGAAAGCGUGGGGAGCGAACAGGAUUAGAUAUCCUGGUAGUUUAUGUUGUAAAUGAUGAUCACUCGUUGUUGGCAAUAUAUUGUCAGCGACUGAGUGAAAGCAUUAAGUGAUCCACCUGGGGAGUACGCUCGCAAGAGUGAAACUCAAAGGAAUUGACGGGGGCCCGCAUAAGCGGAGGAACAUGUGGUUUAAUUCGAUGAUACGCGAGGAAUUUUACCUGGGCUUAAAUGUAAAACGAUGGAUUGGGAAAUUGAUUUUUUUUAGGAUGUUUUGCAAGGUGCUGCAUGGCUGUCGUCAGCUCGUGUUGUGAGGUGUUGGGUUAAGUUUUAUAAUGAGCGCAACCCUCAUUAUUAGUUGUUAGUGAGUAAUGUUGGGGAUUUUAAUGAAAUUGUUGGUGUAAAUUGUGAGGAAGGUGGGGAUGACGUUAAGUCAGCAUGGCCCUUAUGUCCAGGGUUAUAUAUGUGUUAUAAUGGUCGGUAUAAAGGGUAGUUAUUUGGUGAUAGGAUGUUAAUUUUUAAAACCGAUCUCAGUUUGGAUCGAAGUCUGUAAUUUGACUUCGUGAAGCUGGAUUCGCUAGUAAUCGCGCAUCAGCCAUGGCGCGGUGAAUAUGUUUUUGGGUUUUGUAUAUACCGCCCGUCAAGCCAUGGAAGCUGGGGGUACCUGAAGUUUGUAAUUGUAAGGAGUGGUUUAGGGUAAAAUUAGUAAUUGGG